AAUAAGUGCAGUUUUACACUAUUCACGUUCAACGUUUGACCGUCCGUCUUAUUUGAAAAUUUUUUAUGAUUAGUAUUUUUAUUGCUAUUAGAUGAUAAAACAUGAAUAGUACUUUAUGUGUGACUAAAUGUUUUUAAUUUUUUCACAAAUUUUUCAAAUAAGACGGACGGUCAAACGUUGAACGUGAAUAGUGCAAAACUGCACUUAUU
rnacentral:pre_miRNA from 1 species